GACGUAGGGGGCGAGCGUUAUUCGGAAUUACUGGGCGUAAAGAGCUCGUAGGUGGUUUGUCGCGUUGUCCGUGAAAACUCACAACUCAAUUGUGGGCGUGCGGGCGAUGACGGGCAGACGUGGAGUACUGCAGGGGAGACUGGAAUUCCUGGUGUAGCGGUGGAAUGCGCAGAGUAUCAGGAGGAACACCGGUGGCGAAGGCGGGUCUCUGGGCAGUGAACUGACGCUGGAGGAGCGAAAGCGUGGGGAGCGAACAGGAAUUAGAUACCCGUGGUAAGUCCGAGAACC
rnacentral:rRNA from 1 species